rnacentral:snRNA from 1 species
AUCGCUUCUCGGCCUUUUGGCUAAGAUCAAGUGUAGUAUCUGUUCUUAUCAGUUUAAAUGUAUUGGGGUGACAUUGGUUAAUAAAAUUAUAUAGGUUUCAAGUGUACGACUCUAU